rnacentral:lncRNA from 1 species
CGGUGUGCUGACUAUUCACAGUGAGGCUACUUAGUUUGAUUACAUGUUUCUUUGAUCCCUAGCCAUACGGAUCCUUACUGUGUAUGUUAGCUAUUGUAGGUUCAGAUUCAUUGUUUGGAGUAGGAUGCAUCUAGAUGGAAUCUUUCGAUCUUGGUAGAAAAGGAGGUCCUAUGUGAUUCGUAAGUCUGAGUUUAGAAAAUCUCUAGC